rnacentral:piRNA from 1 species
UCCAAAGGAGUCACAACCCACAGGCUGAGU